GUAGGUGGCAAGCGUUGUCCGGAAUUAUUGGGCGUAAAGCGCGCGCAGGCGGUUCGUUUAAGUCUGAUGUGAAAGCCCACGGGCUCAACCGUGGAGGGUCAUUGGAAACUGUAGAACUUGAGUACAGAAGAGGAAAGCGGAAUUCCACGUGUAGCGGUGAAAUGCGUAGAGAUGUGGAGGAACACCAGUGGCGAAGGCGGCUUUCUGGUCUGUAACUGACGCUGAGGCGCGAAAGCGUGGGGAGCAAACAGGAUUAGAUACCCUGGUAGUCCACGCCGUAAACGAUGAGUGCUAAGUGUUACGGGGGUUUCCGCCCCUUAGUGCUGCAGCUAACGCAUUAAGCACUCCGCCUGGGGAGUACGGCCGCAAGGCUG
rnacentral:rRNA from 1 species